CAUGCCUUAUGAUCAGAAUGAUAAAAAGAAGAAAAGCAAACCGUUAACAACCACGUAAAAAUGUUCCAAAUCACCAAGAAUAGAAAUGUAAUUUGUUACAACUCUGUGGUCUACCUCACUGCUAUCUCAUUGAGAAAGACAACAAUUAAAAUUGUUGGAGGCAUAAUAAUAUACCCUAAAGGAAGUUCUGAAUUGCUCUAAUCAUCCUGGAAAAAAAAACAAUUAAAACUAUAUCCCUAAAAAUUACUAAAUUGUGAGUAAUCUUGAUCUCAAAGAUACUUCCACUAGGCAUAUACUUCAAAGAGGUAAAAAACAUAGGGGGAAAGCCCUAUAGCUAUCCCAAAACAUUUUAUAGCAGCUCUUCAUAUGAUAGCAAAAAAAAAAUUAGAAAUGGUGGGGAUGCCCAUCAACUGGGGAAGAACUGAAUAAAUUGACAUAUGUAAUAGAAUAUUAUUGUGUUUCAAGAAAUGAUGAAAAGGUCAGAUUCAGAAAAAUCUAAACACAGUUGUAAAAAUUGAUGGAAAAUGUAGUGAACCAGAUGAGAACAUUUCUCUUUGCAGUAACUAAUAAUAAUGCCAAGGAAAACAACUCUGAAAGAUUUGAGAACUCUCUUCAGUGGAAUGACCAAUGAAAAUUCCAGAAGAUUAAUAAGGAAGCAUGCUUUCCACUUCUUGGCAGAGGUAUAACAGACUUACGGAACAGAAUGAAACAUUUUCAGACACAAGCAAUUUCUUCCUCUGGAUGUGGAUAGUGUUUGUUCUCAUCCCUCAGAAUUGUCCAGGGUCAUUGCAUUGCUGCUAGAAGAGAAGUCUAUUACAUUUGAUUGUGCCACAGUAAAGGCAUUUAUUAAGAUGGCAUAAUAAGAACAGUACCUCCAAAGCUUCCCUUUUCCCAUCUUCCUCCUUCCUGGUCUGAGGUAUGCUCUCCCACAAAUAUACAAAAUAUCCUUGGGUAAAAUGGGCACAAACUACAAUGACAGUGAGGUAGAGAAUAUAAGUGGCCAAUAUGA
rnacentral:lncRNA from 1 species